UGGGGGAGGAACAGUCCCAUAUGUUUUUCCCUGUCCUGGAUUGGGAGUGUUCCCUGUGACGCACCUAGAGCCCAGAACAUAUGCUCUUUUCAGAUCCUAAGUGCUGUUUGCUUCCUCCCAGCCUUGGCGGCAGUGGCUGCGAAGAUCCUGUGUCCCCCUCUUCCUGGCAGUUGCUCUGUUUGCUGCCUGGGAGUCGCAGGACACUCCUCAGUCAAGGCUUGCAGGGCCGUUUUCAGUAGGGGAUUUCUAAUUUUAGGAGCCUGUGCCGCCUAUGGUUGAGUGCUGCCUCGCUGGAUCCCAGAAGAGAGGGGCUGAGCUGUGUUGAGCCAGGCAGCUCCUUUUUAUUUUCAGCUGAGCUAGUGUCAACCUGAGUGGCCCCAGAGGCCCGAGCCAAGCACUGCGCAGGGCUGCCAGAGUCCUUCCCACAAGGCUGAAAGACGGAGACUCGGAUUUGAAGCUUUCAGUCCUGUGUCCAUUUGGCCUUUAGCUGGAGGAUCUUUGGCUAUGUAUGGUGUGUAUUGUAUGGAUUACCAAUACCCAGUUGUCCAGGGUAACCAGGAGCCAGCAGCAACUCCUGAUGCAAUGGUGCAGCCAUUCACCACAAUCCCAUUUCCGCCACCCCCACAGAAUGGGAUUCCCACAGAGUACGGGGUGCCACACACUCAGGACUAUGCAGGCCAGACCAGCGAGCACAAUCUGACACUCUACGGAAGCACGCAGCCGCACGGAGAGCAGAGCACGAACACGGCCAGCACGCAGAACGGAUCUCUUGCACAGACAGAAGGAGGGGCACAGACAGAUGGACAGCAAUCACAGACGCAGAGCAGCGAGAAUACUGAGAGCAAAUCCACUCCAAAACGACUUCAUGUGUCUAACAUUCCCUUCCGCUUCCGAGAUCCUGACCUUCGGCAGAUGUUUGGGCAAUUCGGCAAAAUCCUUGAUGUAGAGAUAAUCUUUAAUGAGCGUGGCUCGAAGGGAUUCGGGUUCGUAACUUUCGAGAAUAGUGCUGAUGCAGACAGGGCCAGGGAGAAAUUACACGGCACCGUGGUAGAGGGCCGUAAAAUCGAGGUUAACAACGCCACUGCACGAGUGAUGACCAAUAAGAAGAUGGUCACACCUUAUGCAAAUGGUUGGAAGUUGAGUCCUGUGGUUGGAGCGGUGUACGGCCCUGAGUUAUAUGCAGCGUCCAGCUUUCAAGCAGAUGUCUCGCUCGGCAAUGACGCCGCAGUGCCCCUCUCAGGAAGGGGGGGUAUUAACACUUACAUUCCUUUAAUCAUUCCAGGCUUCCCCUAUCCAACUGCAGCCACCACAGCAGCCGCAUUUCGGGGCGCCCAUCUGAGGGGCCGAGGAAGGACAGUGUAUGGGGCAGUCCGGGCGGUACCUCCCACGGCCAUCCCUGCCUACCCAGGUGUGGUUUACCAGGACGGAUUUUACGGUGCUGACCUCUAUGUAAGUACACACACCGGAGCCUUCUCGUCCCCAACCCCUGACAAGCCAGCCUUUUUUUGUUUUGUUUUCUUUUUCUUUUGGUUUGUUUGUUUGGUUUGGUUUGUUUUUUUAAAUAUCAUUUACUUUAAUUUUCUUCUUCCUUGUGGAUAUAUAUAUUUAUAUAUUUAGGAAUGCAAGCAUGCUUCUCUGUCACUGCGCUUGCCCCUGGGUGCAAGACCUAAGCCUUUGGGUUUCCUGAUCAUUGCCAGGGUCAGUUCACUGGGUGUCCUGUCCCCCACACGCACACUGAUACUAAUCAGCCUGAGAGACGACUAGCAAAUUAAAAUUUCUCUCAACACUUCUCUCAUAAUUUGAAUAUAAAAAUAACAGGACUGGUUUAGCCUCAGACCUUCCCUUUCCUUCUCCCCCUUCACCCUCCCCUUUCUCUUCCCUCUUGGGGCCCUUUCAGGUUUGAUUUGUGCAGCCCACACUAAACUGAGCAAGCUGUAUGUUUAAAAAUGUUCAUGUGCCACUGGGAUGUGGAGAUUUUCCCUUUGGGGAAGACACUGGGACUGAUUAAAAAUGGAGACUGAGAUGCUAGAGUGAAAACUGACAUCUGAUUUUGCUAGUAGAAAUGGUACCUAAAUAGGCUAGAUUCUCUCAUCUCUUUGGGGAAUUGUAGAGUACAAAUAUGUUGAGAUGUUCGGUUACAAGAGUCAGCAGCCUCUUCCUGUCUGGGAAUUAGCUGUGGUACCAUGGGAGACUUUGUCCUGUCAUUGUCUUUGUCCUACCCAGUCAGUCUGUAUUGCAAAUCUCCAGGGCAACUCUGUUUACCUAGGUGGGUUGUAGAUGGAGGUAUUUGAACUGGCCAGUGAGAAAAGUGGGAGGGGGAGAGCUGUUGCAGAGCAGGAAUAUGCCUUUCAAAGCAAAUAUGUUCAGGUUCACUACUGCCAUUGCAACUUGUGGCCUGCCUAGCUCUAGCAGAGUUUCCUUUUGUGAUAUUGUAGGUCAUAGCUCUUUGGAGCUGGGGAAGUUUUUGUACUGGGUAGUGACACAGUUGUCAGCAUGAAUUUCACAUUCCCAUUCCUUUGAAGGUGCUAUUCCUGACAUUUAUAAAGAGGAUCCUGGGGUUACACUCAGGAUAAUGGAUGGAACUAGCUUUUGGAUUUUGUUGGCUUAUGUAGAGGAUCAAGUCUUGUAGAGGUGCUUUUCCCAGCCCAGGUACACCAGUUGGAAGAUGUGCUCUCUGAGCAUAGAGAUACUGGGUGCAUUUCUUCAUUCUUACAUAUACUGUUAUGUGUGCAGUCCUUUAAAAAUUGAUCUGCCUAGUCAAGUGUUUCUUUAUAAAACUGUGUCAAGGACUACAGAAGAUUCUGGGUUUUCCUGCUUCACACCUAAAACACUAGCUUUACCCACCACUGACUUUGCUACAGCAAGUAACCAAGAAAAUGAGUGAUGCUUAGUGCCUCUUCCCUCAGUGUGGCGUGUAAGAGUCUGCCACAUUGAAAGGAAAGACUGGCCAGGGUUACUCCCUGCUUCUUUUGAGAAAGCUCCUUCAGAGCUUCUGUUGCAGGUGGGGAGAGAGACUUAACAUGUUUUAAGGACAGAGACUUCAGUAAUGAAGAAUAUCCGUAACGACUUGGUGCUGCAGUGCACUACCAUCACGUAACACAAAAGCAAGCCCCCAAGUCAGGUUAGAACCAUUAGGUGGACUUCUGAUGACUGCUGUUGGUGGCUAUGGUCUCUCUGUCAGAAAGCAGGCUGAUAGAAGAGGGAACUCCAUCAAGGUAGAUGGUGGUGCUUUUUCCUGUGUUAUUGCUGCUCAAAGCCCUCCAGUGGAGCUCAGGAAAAAGUUAUCAUAAUCCAAACUUGAAAUUGCCUUUCCAAACAAUUUCUUUGUCACAGGUGGAAUGAUUGCAGUGUCCCUGUGCCCCACUGAUUUGUCGUGCUUUUCACUGCAGUGCUUCCAUCCCUCUGGUUGGUGUGAUAGACUUGUCCAGAUUCUGGAAGGGAUGGCAGAGGAUACUUAGUUAGGACUGGGGGGAAGUUAAAUUGAGGUUCUCUUAGGACGCCUGAACCCAUAGGGUUGUGUGAAGGAAGGGUAGAAAAAGGAGCUGAGCUGGCAGGGAGUGGUUAGUCAUAGGCAAGAUGAAAGGGAAGUGUCCCAAGUUUGGGCUGCUUUUUCUGCAUAUAUGCUACGCACCAAUUUCUCAUUUUCCUCCUCCUCCUUUUCCUCACUCCUUUUUUCUUUCCUGGGGCAACCAUCCUGCUAGCCAUUUCUUCUAUGAAGAAGGCAUUCCAUCUGUUGUUGGAUGCGUCCCACUCUGGCAAGACACCUGAAUUGAUAAAACAACCUGCCCCAGGAUGCAGAGGGCUUCAUUUCGGAUCAUAAGAAAGAAUAGUCUUACAGGAACCAAUCAUUAGCGCUAAAAUACCUCAGGGUGGAUACGCAGCCUACAGAUAUGCACAACCUGCUACUGC